rnacentral:rRNA from 1 species
UACGUAGGGGGCUAGCGUUGUCCGGAAUCAUUGGGCGUAAAGAGCGUGUAGGCGGUCCGGUAAGUCCGCUGUGAAAGUCGGGGGCUCAACCCUCGAAUGCCGGUGGAUACUGUCGGGCUAGAGUGCGGAAGAGGCGAGUGGAAUUCCUGGUGUAGCGGUGAAAUGCGCAGAUAUCAGGAGGAACACCUAUUGCGAAGGCAGCUCGCUGGGACGUAACUGACGCUGAGACGCGAAAGCGUGGGGAGCGAUCCGG